CGAGGGGAAAGGCUGCAGUUGCAGCCGGCCGGAUGGAGGUCAAAUAGUAGGAAGCAUUUACUGCCCGGGGCAGAGUGGUGCGGUCUCUAGUUUCCUCUUGCGGUUUGGUAGAAAGAGAACAGAAGCUGUUGAGUUGCCGUUGACCUCAGGCCUUAAAGAAAGCUGCUGCAGCUCCAGGCAUCACAUCUUCCCACUAAUGACCCAAGCAGAAAGGAAGGGAGCAACGAGGGCUUUCUUCUGUUGACGCUCCGUCCCCAGAAUGACUGGACACCUCCCCCAAUCAACUGAACCCCAGAAGUUUUUUGGACCACUCAGAGCUGGGGGAGGAAUGGGGCAAGACUGGGAAGAGUCCUAGCCCUCAAUUCUGACCUCAAAGACCUCGUUCCAACGGGG